rnacentral:lncRNA from 1 species
AAGUCUUCUAACUUUCCUAUUUCAAUCUAAAAAAGACGUCAACCCUAAAAUUUUCAUUAACUCUCUUCCUCUCUUCUCCAAAAUCUGCCGCACCUCCCAAUCUCUCUUCUCGAUUUUCUUCUCCGGCCAGCGCAGUCGGCGAACCACUGGAGGUAGCCGCCUCUCUCUCCAGUCGUCUUUCCCCUUCGCCUUCUCUUCUUCCCCCCGUCUCCUCUUUCUCCUCGUCUGUCCAGCGGCCAGCGAGGACGAGCAGCCAGCAGCCGCCUGGACAACAACAACAAAGACAUUGUUGUUCAGGCCAGUGACCGGCUAACAUCGGCGCCUCCAGCCGGCGAAGCCCCUUCGCCUCUUCUCUUCUCUUUCCGGCGAGGAUGAGCGACAACAACGAGGCAGCAGUAGCCGCCGGCAAACGACACCAACAGUGCUCCGAUAAACAGCCGGUGGGAACCAGCCGAUUAGCGAAACUCUUUGUCCCUCUCCUCCCUUUCUUGGGGAAGUCCGGCAACUGGUGAAGCCACCAGCGAAAGAGCAGUAGCAGCCGGCGACAACCAGCAGCUCUGGACUAGCGAAAAAAGCUCCUGGCAGUGGCUACGAAAUCAACAACAACGAUAAGAUGCUCACUACAAGGUUCCGACCAAGGACCAAAAUGGAAAAAAAGUGACCGGUACAUCUUUCUUUUAUCAAGCUCAAGUCUUUAUGCAUGUUGGUAUGAAAAUGCGAUCUGUAGGUUGUUUGCCUCAAUGUUUAUUUUAAGAAUCUCGAACUCUAAUGUGUGGUUGCUUGUUUUAUAUUGUUUCUUCUGCUCAAGUUCAUGUGCAACUAGUUGAACAUUAUACUUAGAAUAUUAUAUGUCAAUUCAUGAUUUCUUAAGAGAAAAGGUUAUGAUUUUCUGCUCAAAUUCAUAUUGCUAUCUGCUUGUGGUCAAGUUAUGAAGUCUGUUGAUAAGUUUGAACUCUUAACCGGUGGGUUUCAUAUUUCUUUGUUUAUAUAUGAGAGAACUUAUUUUGUGAAUUUCCUUGACUGGUUUCUUCCUUAUAAAUCAUUGUUUUGGCCAUAAUUAAUCAAGGACCGUAUUAUUUUCCCUAAAAUAAUUAUUUGAUUUUCCUUAAUUAUCGAGAUAUUGCUCUUAGUCAAUUAAUGCCUUAAUAUUGUGUGUAAACAGGUCAAUCUGAUAUUAUUUUUUUCUCAUAUUUGGCUAAGUUAGCAUCUUGACUAAUUUCUUAAUUUGCUAAAAUAAUUAUAAACUUGUUCAAGGCUUUCUCUUGCUCUGAGGACGAGAUUUAGUCUUCCAUAAAUUGUUGUUGUCUAUGCUUAAUUUACUGGAAUCCUCUCUUUGCCUACGGUAAGACAUUAAUUAGUAAAUAAAGCAUGUGAGUUUUAAUUCUUGUGAUGGUUAUUUCUUUCCUUUUAAACUUAUUUUUGCUGAUUUUAAAUUAAUACCUCCUUGCCUUAUUUAUUUGUAGACAAAUUCGUACUUGUUCUAUUCUUGGUAAAAUUUUGACCGAAUCACGAGGCAUUAGUAAUUAUCUUUUUAGUCUUUAUUUUUGGUAGCUAAAAUUUUAAUUUGUUUCCUUUCCUUAUACUUGCGGACUGAUUUUGGCCUCCUUUUAAAUAAGGAAAAUUGUUUUUUAAUUGGUGGAAUUAUAUUCUUUUCCUUCUAUGCCAGUCCAUUCUUGGACUAUAUAAAGAUAGACCCUCAUUCUUAUUUAGAUACGCUUCAACACUUUGAACCAAAAAAAAGUAGUACUCUCUACUCUAAAAGAAGUCCGGUGAACAUUCUAAGAGGUGCUUUCUUUAUUCGGUUUUGCGGUGUUCGUGUCGAUAAUUGGAUUAAGCUUGUCUUCAUUGUUGUUUAAUUAAACUGCUUAAACGGUUAGUGAUUUUAUGUAUUUUAACUUUCUGUUUGCAGCAAUGUUAUUUACUUUUAUUCACAAGUUAAGUGUAUGAAUAAAAUAAAAAGGAAGCAUCCGAGUCAGUUCUCUUCUCCUUUUCUAUAUGUGUGAUUGUAUGUGCGUAAUAUGUUGCUUGAAUUAUUGUGUGUAUGCCCUAUUCUGCCUGGGUACAUUAAAAUAUAUAUUAUUAUGUGUGCUUUGUAUUAUACUUGUGUUGUAUUGAUUUCUUCCGUUUAGCAGGGUGUGUAACAUUGAGUUCUAGUUUGAAGAGUUGCCAGGGAUGGAAUUCCGGACGGGAUUUAGUUCUAUUUACAUUCGUAUUUGUCAUAUUUGUAUAAUUUUUAUUCAGUCAUGUAAUAGUUGUAUUAGCUCUUCUAACUCUCCAUAGAUAUAUAUGAAAUAUUUGUGGGAUCCUCUAAGGGGGAGAGGUUAUAUGUGCUAACUGCUUUUCUUUAUUCAUUUAAUUAUGUGCGGAUGCAUCUAAGAUUAAUUGAUCUUUUGAAUAUAAUUAUCUUGUUUCUAAAUCUAAUAACUUAAUUUCUUCGACCUAAAAUCACCUUUAGCAUAUAUAAUGGAGCAACUUACAAAAAUAACUAUAUUUAUAGGGUUAAUGAAUACCAAUAGCUAUAAGUAUGUUAUUUACAAUAAAUGACUACUAAUUUAUAUCUACUUUUUUGCUGUAUUUUUGUAUUCGUUUUUUAUUUUUUUAUUUAUACAUUAAUACAUCUUUAAGUACAACAAAUUAAAUAAGGAAUUGACUCUAAAUAUAACCCACUAUCCUUACAUUACGUCCAUACAAUGAGCAACUUCCCAUAAUUAACUUUAUAACUAAAAAUUACUUAUUUAAAGAUAUAUCAGGUCAUAUUCUUUAUUAGUUUAACAAAAAUUGUGAUACAUCAUACUCAAUUUUCUUGUUGUCUCCAUAUUUCUUACUCUGGUGUUGUAAAGGUAUUAAUAAGUUUUUUUUUGUUAAUUCAAGUUUUCUAUGUAAGCAAAUUGUUGAAUUUGUGAAUGAAGGUUAAGUAUUUCGAUUUUGAAUAGGUGAACUACAUGGCAAUAGAUACACCAGUUGUUAAACAAAAAUGAAUACACCAAUAUAAAAUACAAUGAAUACAUUGUUGUUAAACACAAAAAUGAAUACGUUGAAUACAACUAUACUUGUAUUCCCUAAUCAAUUUUUUAUCUUGGAUAUAGUACUUAUCUAUCUAGAUAUAACUGUAUUCACAAAUCAACAUUUCAACUUGUGCUUAUAUAACAAUACAAGUAUCUAUGUAUAUAAAUAUGGAUACAUUUCAACAUUGUUGUUAAGCAAAAAUAUGAAUACAUUAGACAAACGAGCAAAAACGAUACAAUUUGUGGGUAUCAAACUGUAUAAGUAUUCUUGUAAAUAAAAUUUUGAAAAGGCCAACAAUAUAGUAUUGAUGUAUCCAACUAUACUUGAAUUCCUUAAUCAACUUUUUAAAUUUGACAAAGUACUUAUGUAUUCAAAUAUAAUUGUAUUCAUAGAUCAACAGUUCAACUUGUGGUUAUAUAAUAAUACAAAUGUCUAUGUUAAGUUAUAUACAAAAUUGACAAUCAAAGAACCCUCAAUCUCUUUUUUGUUCAUGUUCUUCUUGUACUCAUUUUUUAACAACUAUAUACAUACGAAAUCAAAUUUUCUGACAAUUUCAAUACAAGCAGACAAUGGUACACAAUACAUGUGUUGAGAUAGAUAAGUAAAUGACAUUAAACUAAAAAAAUAAAGCAUACAAAUCUCAAUUUCAUUUUCCUCUUGAAUCAAAACCCUAUGAAAAUAGUAGAAAGUGUAGAUGUGUAGAUAUAUAAUGCUCAUAAAAACGAGAUAAAUAUGCAAUUAGAAAAUAUGUGAUGUAUAAUUACUGCAGUGAUGUAAAGGAUCUUGAAUUUUGAAUUGAAUUUGGAGGAAAAAUCAGAAAAUAUGUGAUGUAUGAAUAUUGAUGAAAGAGAAAAAAUUUGAUGAUGGUAAACAUGGAAAAAGAUCAUAAAUGUGCCUGCCAUAAUUAAUUAGGCACUCAAUAAUUACUUUCCUAUUUAAUAUUUAUUUAUUAUAUUAAAAAUAUAAUUUUAUUUAUUUAUUUGUAAAUAACACUUUGCUAUUUAUAGUCUAAUUAUAUCCAUAUAACAUGAAAAAAAAUAAAACAUAGCUAUUUUUCUUGAAUAUAUAUGGAUGUUUGCCAUAUUCUGAAGUUUUUCCAAAAUGACUUUUGCAUUGAUUGCCACCUUGUUUUGGUUUUGAAUAAUCUUUAUCAUGUAUGAGAUUUGAACAAACUAAAUGUUGUUUAAUGAUUUGUUUGCACUAAGUGAGAAAAGUUGGAAGCAUGCCUAUAUGAUCUAAUUAUUUUUUGGUUUAUUUUGGGGUUUAGAAAUCAUGCAUAUAGGCUAUUAAUAUUUUUACACAUUAGAUUUUAAUAGAUGCCAUGCCUAUGAAAUAAUUGGUAACCUGCCACUAUUGCAUUUUUUGAAGGUAAUAAUAAUUUAAUAAUCUAUAAGUAUGUUGUUUAAUUUGGAAUUCUAAAUAAGUUGUAGCUUGCUAAUAAUUUUGUUGAAUUAGUAAGAGCUUAAUAACUUUCAUGCUAAUUGAUUAGAAAUUAUGCCUGUAGGACUUAAUAUUUUUCAACAUGUUAAAUAGCUGAAUAACUUUUGUUAUGCCUAUUUUCUGCCACUGCUCUGUGACAUGUUUAGUUACUGCCACUUAAAGAUAAAAUUAACAAAUCUUUCUUUGCAUGCUAAUCUGCCCUUGAUUAAAAUAACUAAUUUUCUUUUAAAUCAACAUAUGCUUUUAAUAUUACUCAUGUUUAACUAACCUGCCCUAGAUUAAAAUAUGCUCGAUGUGAUUAAAAUCUGAAUUGCGAUAAAAUGUCUGCCGCUUAAAAUAAAUUAUCGAAUUGUUAGCAUGCUACUGCAUUAAUAAUCUUCUACUGCUGCGUUAAUAAUUUCUUUUUCUUCUUUGUAAUUAUAAAUUUUCUGCCCAUUAUUAAACAAGUCUUAUGACAUAAUCAUUUUGUCUAUAUUUCUCUUUUUCAAAAUCAUUGUUCAACACUCUUUUCAAAAUUUGGAUUGAAUAUGACAUUUUAAUUUUUUUUUAUACAAGUAUUAUCUCUUGACCUAUAGUUAGUGGAAAAUUAAAAGGAAUUACGAGGUCUAAUUCCACUUUUUAAUUAAGCCGACGCGUCCUCGGGAGUAACACCUACCCAUGAUUUUUCAAAAGGGAUUAUGUGUAUUUAUAUGCAAAUAUUUAUGUGCUUAUUUUAAUCAAACUUUUCACUCGUCUCCAAAGUAAAUUAUUACUAAUUUUCUAAGACCGACCUCAAAUUAAAAGAGUUUCUAUGGUGGAAGAGCGCGAUUAAUAAUAUCGUGGUAUCAUCCCUAUAAAGAAACAAAUAUUUGUUUUAGUUUUGAAAACUCUAUUCAUGACUUCCUCAAUUUUAAAGCACUUCAUCCUUUCAUUUCAUCUCUCUUUGUGGUAGUUUAAUAAAUAAAAUUAAAUUUUUUCUACUAUAUACUUGUGCAUUUUCUGUCUCCUUGCUUAUCUCUUAAUUUGUAUUUAUAUUAAUUGUUUAAUGUUUAUUUAUUUUGUCACCUAGUUCGCAUGCCUAAUUAAUUAACUAACUAAUAAAUAGUGACCUUGAUUGCUCCUUGUAACCCCACAUAAAUUGUAUGAGAUACGAUCGGAAUUCACAUUUCUGGACCUCGAGGGAUGCUUAACACCUUCCCCUCGAGGUAACUUGAACCUUUACUCGAUCUCUGGUUCGUUGACCCUUUAGUUAAAUUAGUUAGGUUAGAUAGGUGCCCUAACGUGCCUUAAUUCGUUAGGUGACGACUCUUCAUUCAAACAAAUCCAAAAGAGUUGUUAGGUCGUGUAGCAAAACCCGUUUUGAGAAAAAUAGGGAGCGACGGAAUGACGACUCUGCUGGAGAUAUACCUAGGUUCUUACCAUUAUGUGUUUCGUGCUUUAUGUGGGGGUUCAUGCGCUUUGUGUAUUUUCCUUGUUUGUUUUGCUAUUUCUGUGUCUAAAUUAUAAUUUGCUUUCCUUUAAUCGCUCAUUUCCAUGCUUAAUCUCUUUCCCUUUUUUUCUUAUUUGUUUAUUUUCAUGUUUAAUCCUUCCCCUUUUCCCUUAUUUGUUUAUUUUCAUGUUUAAUCCUUGUCCCCUUUCUUUGUUUGUUUAAUUCUCUUAUGUAUUUACAUGUUUAUUUCCUUUUGUUUAUGCAUUUAUUUAUUUAUUUACUGCUUUCCAUACACUAUCUAUGUGUUACUGCUUUCCAUUUAAUUGUUAGAUGUUACUGCUUUGGUAACUGAUAUUCCGCUCAUACUUCUCCUAAUUGGUACCUUCUUUUUAUUUUUAUUUUUAUCGUGAUAUUGUGCCUUUGCACCUCUCACAAAUACUCCAAUUCUCUUCAAAUGCCCUAUUAUAGAGAGUCGGCAUAUGCGUGGCAGAAAUUGAUAAUAUUACUAUCGUGAAACCACGAGCCUUCUCGCAUAGAAUCUGUUCAAGUCUGUGUCUAACCAAUUCUUAUAAAUCUCAAUUAGGCCAUACAUGCUGCAUAAACCCUAGGUGGUUUGACACUUGGUGUCAAUCCGCACAAUUAGUAGCCACCCUAUUGUCUAAAGGGUCCCAACACCCUUAUACCAAUUGUAUAUUAUGUUUCAACGUAAUCACCAUAGUUAAUUUAUGCUAAACCAUGCCAAAAUAGAGUUUAGAAUUUGUUUAUUUUUGUUUGUAGUGUUAUAAUGACCUACCCAGAUUUCAUCAACGUUCAAAUAGCUGUAGAUGUGAAUCCCAAACUAAGAGUGUGGUGGUAUGACAUUAAGUGGACUCUUGAAUUAGAGGUUUGAUUAUCUUUUGGGUGGCUUGACUUCGCUCAUCUCUGUCACACCAGACCUCACUUAAUCAAGGCUUUGCUGAACUUUUGGGACCCUGCAAGGUUGGUCUUCAAAUUUAUUAAUUUCGAACUAGUGCCAACGAUAGAAGAAAUUAGUUGCUUCAUCAACUUAUCGUACCAUGAGUGUGAAAUGAUGGUACCUUAUAAGCCAUCAUCAAGGGAGUUUCUAGAGAGUCUGGGAAUGAAACCCAAUCCAACAUUAACUUGUUUAGAUCUUGGGUGGAUUUCUUUCGACUUUUUGUAUUCACGCUUCGGCCAAAAAGAUAUUUAUUACUCUUUUAUUGAUGAAUUUGAGUGCUCCACUGAGCGAUGGGAAAUAUAUCGAUUGAAUGUCUUCGCCAUCGCAAUAUUAGGUUUCUUAGUUUUCCCUAAAGAGAGGGGAAAUAUCGAUACUUGUUUGGGUUACGUGGUGCAAAAUUUAGCUCAAAGAGAGGGUGAACCUAGGAAAACUAUAGUACCUAUGAUCCUGGUGGAAAUAAUGAGAAGUCUGUCAGCAUAUGUCAAUGGUAGAAUAUUCUUCGAGGGAUGCAACCAUUUGCUACAAUUGUGGGCUAUCGAACACUUCCACAAACGACCUGACACAGUAGAUCUCUUCCUUGGUUCUGGCAACAAGAUUGAUAAUCACCCAAAAAUAAUGGAAUUCUUUACCGCACCUAUAGGGAUCAAAGACUUGGUGAUGUAUUUGAAAGGACUCAACAAUUAUUGCAUUCAAUGGAAACUCUAUUGGUUGUCCAUCCCUCAUGCAAUAGUAAGAGGUGAUGAACAUUAUUUAAUUGAGCUUAUUGGCUUAAAGGGCGUUCAACCAUACGCUUCUCUUCGAGUACUCCACUAAUUUGGACGAACUCAAGUAAUACUACUCCGAUCAAACAUGGAUCAGUUUAAGUACGACUUUGAGUUAGAUAAUCCACGAGUCCACAACAUACUUAGAAGAUGGGAGCGGGUGGUAACCAUUGCUAUGGGUGCACGGCGGUCCUUCUACACACUUGAGUAUUGCAUAUGGAUCUUCGCAUUAUCCAUGUCCAACCAUGUUAACGUGCUCAGAGGGAAAAUGUUCAAACCAGAACCUGAAUCAAGCAAAGCUUUGGUGACUACUUUAUUCUGAUAUUAAGCAGAAAUAUACAAAGCUUUAUUGUGGGAUGUUUCUUCAAGUGGUAUAUCAUCUUCAUGAAAAGAUAUCCUGUAUGCCUCAAAUACUUGCCCAACCAUUUUGGCUACCUCCUCAUGAGUGAUGCCAACAGGGCUAUAAGCUUCACCAAGAACCUUAAGAAGAGCACUCUAAAGAGUUUUUGAAUAUUGCAACAAUGACAGGAUGCAUAUUUUGGACGGGGUCUUACUCAAUUGCUCAACAAUAAAGUAUUCUUUGUCUUGCACUUUCUUCCAGACACCUUGCUCGUCAAGCUCUAUAAUUGGUGGCUUAGAUUUGCUAGAGCUACCCUGAACCAAAUUCUUGAAAGUGUAUAUUCUCCCGGAUCUAGUCACUUCUCCUGUAAUGUCUGUUUCCUCCACUUUUGCCUUUCCUUUUCCGUAAUCCCAUGGGACAACAUGGGUAUUAUGCUUGAUAGGAGGAGGGGCUCUAAGAACAGUGAAUGGGGGCCUGGGUAUGGCGACCUCAAUAUCGAAAGGAGCACACCUUUGCACUACAAUUGACAUUUGUGAGGUAGCAAUCAUCGCCUCUUCUGGAUCGAGGAACCAAAUAGAUCCCUAUAAAUCCACCAUAUCACCAACUUCUACCAUAUUAACCUGGUGGUUAGGAAGAGAGUUGUCUGCAACCUUUGGCGCAGGAUCCUUGAGCUGGAUGACCUUUGUAUCAAUCAACAUUUGAAUCUUGUCUUUCAAAGCUCUACAAGCUUCAAUGAUAUGACCCUUCAUCCCAAAAUGAUAAGCACAUAUCCGUGCACAAUGGUACAAACCUAACAAGAUCUCUUCUCAUCAUUCUGGGAUGAAGGGUCAUACCACUGAAGCUUGUAGAGCUUUGAAAGACAAGAUUCAAAUAUUGAUUUAUACAAAGGCCAUCCAGCUCAAGGAUCCUGCACCAAAUUUUGCAAACAAUCCUGUUCCUAACCACCAGGUUAAUAUGGUAGAAGCUAGUGAUAUGGUGGAUUUGGAGGGAUCCAUUUGGUUUUUCGAGCCAGAAGAGACAAUGACUGCUACCACCCAGAUGCUAGUUGUAGUGCAAAGGUGCUCCUUUCGAGGUAGAGGUUGACAUGCCUAGGCCCCUAUUCACCGUUCUUAGAUCCCCUCAUCCUAUCAAGUAUGAUACCCAUGCUGUCCCAUGGGAUGACGGAAAAGGAAAGGCAAAAGUGGAGGAAACAGACAUUGCAGUAAGAGUGACUAGAUCUAGGAGAAUAUACACUUCUGAGAAUUUGGUUCAGGGUAGCUCUAGAAAAUCUAAGCCACCAAUUGUAGAGCUUAAUGAACAAGGUGUCUGGAAGAAAGUGAAAGCCAAAAAAUACUCUAUUGUUGAGCAGUUGAUUAAAACCCCAUCCCAAAUAUUCAUCCUGUCAUUGCUGCAAUCUUUAGAAACUCAUCGGAGUGCUCUUUUGAAGGUUCUUGGUGAAGCUUAUGUCCUUGGUGGCAUCACUCAUGGGAGGUAGCCCAAAUGGUUGGGCAAUUAUUUUAGGCAUCCAUGAUAUCUUUUCAUGAAGAUGAGCUACCACUUGAAGGAACAUCCCAAAAUAAAUCUUUGUAUAUUUCUGCUUUAUAUCAGAAUAAAGUAGUCACCAAAGCUUUGGUUGAUUCAGGUUCUGGUUUGAACAUUUGCCCUCUGAGCACACUAACAAUGCUGGACGUGGAUAGUGCGAAGAUCCAUAUGUAAUACUCAAGUGUACAGAAGGCCCGUCGUGCACCCACAACAAUGGUUACCACGUGGUCCCAUCUUCGAAGUAUUUUGUGGACUCGCAGAUUAUCUGAUUCAAAGUCGUACUUAAACUGAUCCAUGUUGGAUCAGAGUGGUAUUACUUGAGUUCGUCCAAAUUGGUGGAGUAUUCGAAGAGGAGCGUAUGGUUUACCACCCUUUAAGCCAAUAAGCUCAAUGAAAUAGUGUUCAUCACCUCUUACUAUUGCAUGAAGGGUGGACAACUAAUAGAGUUUCCAUUGAAUGCAAUAACUGUUAAGUCCUUUCAAAUACAUCACCCAGUCUUUUAUCCCUAUAGGGGCGGUAAAUAAUUCCAUUCUUUUUGGGUGAUUAUCAAUCUUGUUGCCAGAACUGAGGAAGAGAUCUACCGUGUCAGGUAGUCUGUGAAAGUGUUCGAUAGCUCACAAUUGUAGCAGACAGUUGCAUCCCUCGAAGAAUAUUUUUCCAUUGACGCAUGCCGAUAGACUUCUCAUUAUUUCCGCCAGGAUCAUGGGCACUAUAGAUUUCCUAGGUUCACCCUCUCUUUUAGCUAAAUACUGAACCACGUAACCCAAACGAGUGUCGAUCUUUCCGCUCUCUUUAGGGAAAACUAAGGAACCUAAUAUUGCGAUGGUAAGGACAUUCAAGCGAUAUAUUUUCCAUCUCUUGGCGGAGCACUCAAAUUCAUUAAUAAAAUAGUAAUAACUAUCUUCAUGGCCGAAGCGUGAAUACAAAAAGUUGAAAUAAAUCCACCCAAGAUCUAAAUAAGUUAAUGUUGGAUUGGGCUUCAUUCACAGACUCUCUAGAAACUUCCUUGAUGAUUGCUUAUAGGGUACCAUCAUUUCACACUCAUGGUACGACAAGUUGAUGAAGCCAUAAAUUUCUUCUAUCGUUGGCACCAGUUCGAAAUCAAUAAAUUUGAAGAGCAUCCUUACAGGUCCCAAAAGUUCAGCAAAGACUUGAUUAGGUGAGGGUCUAGUGUGAUAGAGAUGAGCGAAGUUAAGCCACCCAAAAGAUGAUCAACCUCGAAUUCAGGAGUUCGCUUAAUAUUAUUCCACCAUACUCUUAGUUUGGGAUUCACAUCUAUGAACCAUUUGAACGUUGACAAAAUCUGGCUAGGUCAUUAUAACACUGCAAACAAAAGCAAACAAUCUCUAAACCCAUUUUGGCAUGGUUUGACCUAAAUUAAUUAUGGUGAUCACGUUGAGACAUAAUAUGCAAUUGGUCUAAGGGUUUUGGGACCCUUUAGACGAUAAGGUAGCUACUAAUUGUGCGGAUUGACACCAAGGGUCAAACCACCUAGGGUUUAUGUAGUGUGUACGGCCUUAUUGAGAUUUCUAAGAGUUGGUUAAACAGAGACUUGAAGAGGUUCUAUGCGAGAAGGCUCGUGGUUUCAUGGUAGUAAUACUAUCCGUUUCUACCACGCAUAUGCCGACUCUCUAUAAUAGGGCAUUUGAAGAGAAUUGGAGUAUUUGUGAGAGGUGCAAAGGCACAACAUCAAGAUAAAAAAAAAAAAGAAGGAAGAAGGUCCAAAUUGGGGGAAUUAUGAGCGGAAUGUCAGUUAUUAAAGCAACAACAUCUAGCAAUUAAAUGGAAAGUAGUAACACAUAGACAGUUUAUGAAAAAAGUAAAUAAAUAAAUUCAUAAACAAGAGGAAAUAAACAUGAAAAUACAUAAGAGAAUUAAACAAACAAGGAAAGGGGACAAUGAUUAAACAUGGAAAUAAACAAAUAAGGGAAAAGGGGAGGGAUUAAACAUUGAAAUAAAGAAAUAAGGAAAAAGAGAAAGGGAUUAAGCAUGGAAAUAAGUGAUGAAAGGAAAGAUAAAUAACAAUUUAGAUACAGAAAUAGCAAAACAAACAAGGAAAAUACACAAAUCACAUGAACCCCCACAUAAAGCAAGAAACACGUAAUGGUAAGAACCUAGUUAUAUCCCCAAUAGAGUCUUCAUUCUGUCGCGCCCCAUUUUUAUACCAAACCGGUUUUGGUGCACAACCUAACAACUCUUUUUGGUUUGUUUGAAUGAAGAGUCACCACCUAACGAAUUAAGGCGCAUUAGGGCACCUAUCUAACCUAACUAAUCUAACUUAAGAGUCAACGAACCAGAGAUCAGGUAAGGGUUCAAGUUACCUCGAGGGGAAGGUGUUAAGCAUCCCUCGAGGUCCAUAAAUAUGGGUCCCGACCGUAUCUCAUACAAUUUAUGUGGGGGUUACAAGUAGCAAUCAAGGUCACUAUUUAUUAAUUAGUUAAUUAAUCAAGCAUGCGAACUAGGUGAUAAAAUAAAAACAUUAAACAAUUAAUAUAUAUAUAUAUAUAUAUAUACAAAUUAAGAGAUAAACGAGGAGACGGAAAAUGCACCAGUAUAUAGAAGAAAAAAACUAAUUUUAUUUAUUAAACUAACCCAAACAGAGAUGAAAUGCAAGGAUAAAGUGUUUUGAAAAUUGAGGAAGUCAUGAAUAGAGUUUUGAAAACUAAAAAAAAUGUUUGUUUCUUUAUAGGGAUGAUACCACGAUAUUAAUAAUCGCGCUCUUCCACCAUAGAAAUACUUUUAAUUUGAGGUUGGUCUUAGAAAAUUAGUAAUAAUUUAUUUUGGAGAGGACUGAAAAGUUUGAUUAAAAUAAGCACAUAAAUAUUUACAUAUAAGUACACAUAAUCCCUUUUGAAAAAUCAUGGGUAGGUGGUAUUCCCGGGGACGCGUUGACUUAAUUAAAAAAUGGAAUCAGACCUCGUAAUUUCUUUUGCUUUCCCACUAACUAUAAGUUAGGAGAUAGUACUUAUAUAAUUUUUUUUAAAAAAAAAAUCAUAUUCAAUCCAAAUUUUGAAAAGAGUGUGGAAACAAUGAUUUUGACAAAGUGAAUUAUAGACAAAAUGAUUAUGUCAUAAGACUUGUUUAAUAAUGGGCAGAACAUAUAUAAUUUACAAAGCAUAAAUUUUUUAUUAAUGCAGCAACAGAAGAUUAUUAAUGCAGUAGCAUGCUAACAAUUCGAUAAUUUAUUUUAUGCAGUAGACAGUGUAUCGCAAUUCAAAAUUUAAUCACAUCGAGCAUAUUUUAAUAUAGGGCAGGUUAGUUAAACAAGCAUAAUAUUAAAAGCAAAGGUUGAUUUAAAAGCAUAUUAGUUAUUUUAAUCAAGGGUAGAUUAACAUGCAAAGAAAGAUUUAUUAAUUUUAUCUUUAAGUGGCAGUAACUAAAUAUGUUACAGAACAGUGGCAAAAAAUAGGCAUAACAAAAUUUAUUCAACUAUUUAACAUGUUGGAAAAUAUUAAGUCUUAUAGGCAUCAUUUCUAAUCAAUUAGUUUGAAAGUUAUUAAACACUUAUUAAUUCAACUAAAUUAUUAACAAGCUACAACUUAUUUAGAAUUCCAGAUUAAAUAUCAUACUUAGAGAUUAUUAAAUUAUUAUUACUAUAAUAAGUUACAAUAAUGGCAGGUUACCAAUUAUUUCAUAGGCAUGACAUCUAUUAAAAAAUUAAUGUGCAAAAUUAUUAAAAGCCUAUAUGCAUGAUUUCUAAACCCAAAAAUAUACUAAAAAUUAAUUAGAUCAUACAUGCAUGCUUUCUAACUUUUCCCACUUAGUGCAAACAGAUCAUUAAUCAACAUUUAAUCUAUUCUUUUUAAUGUUUAAGUGCUAGUAUUACGAAGCUCUUGAGUUUCAGCAAUAAAGUUACUUUUUUCCAUUUAUUUAAUAUGCUCUAUUUAUUUGUGCGUUAUUCUUUAUUCCAGCAAAAUUUGUUAUAAAAAUAUUGAAUCUGAGACUAUGGCACAUAAUGAGACCACACAACUUAUAAUGACUUAACAGAAACAGAAAGGUUAGAAAGGUUGAGGAAUUCGAGGAAAAGCCCAAUCCAAACUUAGUAGAAAAAGAAAUGGUAAAUCUAGGAAGUUUGGAGGUAACACAAGAGACCCGAGUAAGCAUUCCAUAUGACGAAAGAUGACACGAAAGAGUAUAUUGAGUGUCUCUUAGAGAAUACAGAUAUUUUCGCUUGGUCCUAUGUAGACAUGACAGGGCUAAGCCCUUCAAUAGUAGCUCACCGGUUUCCCACUGAUCCAGCUUGCCCUCCAGUAAAGCAGAAGCUCAGAAAAUACAAGCCUGAAUUGACUUUGAAAAUCAAAGAGGAAAUAUCAAAGCAAUUAGAGGCCAAAAUCCUUCAAGUGACGGAGUAUCCAACCUGGCUUGCAAACAUCGUUUCAGUACCCAAGAAAGACAGGAAGGUCAGAGUCUAUGUGGAUUAUCGAAUCUCAACAAGGCUAGUCCCAAGGAGAAUUUUCCAUUGCCCAACAUACAUAUCUUGAUUGGCAACUGUGCCAAGCAUGAAACACAAUCAUUCGUGGAUCUCUUUGCUGGUUAUCAUCAAAUUGAGAUGCACACGGACGAUGCUGAGAAAACUGCUUUCAUCACACCGGUGGGUGUCUACAACUACAAGGUGAUGCCUUUUGGGUUAAAGAAUACUAGGGCUACAUACAUGAGAGCAAUGGCCACUUUGUUUCAUGACAUGACCCACAAAGAAAUUGAAAUUUAUGUGGAUGACGUCAUCAUCAAAUUAAAGAAGGGUUCAAAUCAUCUGGAUGACCUUCAAAAUUUCUUUGCCAGACUGGGCAAGUAUAACUUGAAGCUGAAUCCUACAAAAUGUGUCUUUGGUGCUCCUGUUAGAAAGCUACUGGGUUUCAUUGUCAGAAGCCGGGGUAUAGAAUUGGAUCCAUCAAAAAUCAAAGCUAUUCGUGAUCUUCCUCUGCCGAAGAGUUAGAAGGAGGUAAUGAGUUUCUUAGGGCGAAUUAACUACAUCAGUCAUGUCAUAGUUAGUCUACUCUCAUUUGUGAGCCUAUUUUCAAGUUGUUGAUGAAGGAUGGCGGUGAAAUGGACAGACGAAUAUCAACAAGCAUUUGAAAAGAUCAAAGAUUACUUGUCCAAUCCUCUUGUGUGGUUCCACCCGAAUAUGGUAGGCCAUUGUUGUUGUACAUAUUAGUAUUGGAUAAUGAUUUCAGUUGCAUCUUAGGGCAACAUGAUGAAACAAAAAAGAAGAAGUAGACGAUAUAUUACAUGAGCAAGAAGUUCAUAUCAUAUGAAGCUUGAUAUUCUCUAUCGGAACAUACCUGUUGUGCUUUAACUUGGGUUGCCUAGAAGUUGCGACACUACCUCUCCUCACACGCUACUUAUUUGAUCUCAAGAAUGUAUCCUCUGAAGUAUACUUUUCAAAAGCACAUGCUUACAAGUAAACUAGCUAGAUGGUAGACACUAUUGAGCGAGUUUGACAUAGUAAAUGUUACACAAAAAACAGUGAAGGCACAUAUAUUAUCGGAUCAUAUGGUGGAGAACCCUGUAGAUGAUGAUUAUAGACCGUUGAAUACUUACUUUCUAGAUGAGGAAGUAGAUUUCGUGGGCGAAGACAUCUCUGAAGAAUACGAUGGCUGGAGGAUGUUUUUUUAUGGAGCUAAAAAUUUGAGCGGAUCUGACAUCGAAGUUGUUCUGAUCUCACCAACUGAGCAAUAUUAUCCGGUAUCGGCGAAACUUAGCUUCCUUUUCUCAAAUAACAUGGCCAAAUAUGAAGCUUGCAUAUUGGGACUCCGAUGGGCGAUUGACUUGGAUGUCCAAGAAAUGUUGAUAAUAUGAGAUUUAGACCUAUUGAUUCAUCAAGUUCGAGGCGAGUGGGCAACCAAGAAUCAGAAGCUGUUACCAUACUUGGAGUGCAUGCAUAGGUUGUGCAAAAGGUUUAUCAAGAUGGAAUUCAAACACGUACCAAGGAUCCUGAAUGAAUUAGCAGAUGCUUUAGCCACUUUGUCCUCUAUGGUUCAACAUCCUGAUCAUAAUUACAUUGAUCCCAUUUACAUUCAUAUAUAUGAAUAACCAGCAUACUGCUUUCAUGUUGAGGAAGAGCCUGAUGGAAAGCCUUGGUACAAUGACAUUCAACGAUAUUUGAUGAAUGGUGAAUAUCCAGAAGAUGCAACAAGUGUACAAAAAUGCACAACUCGAAGGUUAUCAAAUCAAUUCUUUCUGAGUGGAGAACUUAUAGGAUGACUCCCGACUUGGGGUUGCUAAGGUGCGUCAAAGCUGGAGAAGCUAGCAGGUUGAUUGAAGAGAUACACGCAGGAACAUGUGGUCCUCACAUGAACGGUUUUACAUUGGCAAAGAAGAUUUUGAGAUCGAGAUAUUUUUGGUUAACCAUGGAAACAUACAAUAUUCGCUAUUGUUAAAUAAUGUUACCAAUGUUAGACUCAUGCAGAUAUGAUCCGAGUUCCUCCCAACAAACUCAAUGUUACUAGUUCACCUUGGUCAUUUGCAGCUUGGGGCAUUGACGUCAUUGGUCCAAUUGAGCAGCAGCAUCUAAUGGACACAAAUUCAUUCUUGUUGCAAUUGACUACUUCACCAAGUAGGUCGAAGCUACCUCUCACAAAUCGGUGACAAAGAAAGUUGUAGAUGACUUUGUCAAAAAUCAUAUUAUAUUUAGGUUCAGAAUUCCUGAGUCAAUCAUCACUAAUAACGGAACCAACCUAAAUAGUGAUUUGAUGAGUUCAUUGUGUGAGAAGUUUAAGAUCAGUUAUCAAAACUCGACAGCGUAUGGACCACAAAUGAAUGGAGUGGUUAAGGCUGCAAACAAGAACAUCAAGAGGAUACUACGCAAGAUGAUCGAUAAUCACAAGCAUUGGCAUGAAAAGCUACCCUUUGCCUUGCUGGGAUAUCGUACUACCAUCAGAACUUCAAGUGGGGCUACACCUUAUUUUCUUGUAUAUGGUAAUGAAGCUAUGAUACGUGCUGAAGUAGAGAUACCAUCUCUGAGGAUUAUUCAGGAAGCGGAGUUGAGUGAUGCUAAAUGGGUACAAGUUCAUUCGGAGAACUUGGUAUUAAUAGACGGAAGAAGGAUUAAUGUCGUUUGUCAUGGUCAUCUCAAUCAAAAUAGAAUGGCCAGAGAUUUCAACAAGAAGGUCUGACUAGGCAUAUCUCACCUGGGCAACUGGUUUUAAACGGAUCUUCCCGAAUCAAGAUGAAGCAAAGGGUAAAUUCCCACCAAACUAGCAAGGUCCAUACCUAGUCUCUCGAGUGUUGAUAGAUGGAGCACUCAUACUCACAAAAAUGGAUGGAGAAGUUUGGCCCAAACCUAUCAACUCAGAUGUUGUGAAGAGAUACUACAUCUAAGUUUGUUUCAUGCUCUUUUACUUUGUGUUUGGAACUAUGUCAGACCUGAUUACCGUUUAAGAUGGGAUACGAAGAAAUUAAAAUGACCAAAAGCGAUAAGCAUAAUCAAGGGGGAAAUCGGGACUAAGGGAACAAGAGAAACAAAAAUAAGAAUGAUACAAAAAUACCAUAGAUGAGUCAAGCUCAAGCAUAAUACACAACUUGUCCAACACCACCUCUAAACAUGAGUACUUAGCGGGGGCCAAGACAAACUACCGGGCUCACCCUCAUAGACAAAACAUAACUAAAAAGAAAAAGUCUUAUACAUAGCAAAAGAUCAUAAGCAACGUCCCCGGAAUGGAGGACUCACUAAUAACCUCGAUAGAAAAUCGUAUUAGCCACGCGGAGGAGGAUGGUCAAGCGGUGCUCCGGUCCCUACAUGGUGACAUCAUGUAGGCAUAGAGUAUGCGUUAGUACAUUUGAAUGUACUAAGUAUAUGGGAUGCAAUGCAAUGCUACAAUAGAUGGACAUCAUAGGAAAAAUGCAUAAUCAUACCCGAUAGAUAGCAUAUUAAUGAGAUGAUAUGUAUAAUGAUGCUUACAUAAAAAUCAUAUUUAGUGGGACGUAGCACAAGUGUGGUGAGUGACCAUCAAUAUAGUAUUUCCAAGGCCUACCACCCCCUUGGAGAGGCGAAAGAGGUACAAACCCCUCAAUGUGGUUACCCGGGCCUACCACCCCCCGAGCUAGGGACCAAGGUACAAACCCCUUGAUGUGGUUAUACGGGCCUACUACCCCCCGUACUAGGCAACCAAGGUACCAACCCCUCGAUACGGUUACCCGGGCCUACAACCCCCCGAGCUAGGCUUGGUCGAUUCACAACAAUUAUAUAGAGAAUAUCAUAUACAUGUAUCCAUUUCAUCAUCAUUUCAAUGAUUAUAUAACCAUCCGACUCAUAGGACGUACAUUAAACCUUCCAUUUCCUAAGAAUUCUAUAAGUGGGCAUUUUAUCAAACACAUGGUGGGCUAUUGUUCAUGUAAAUGAAAUCAUGUAUUUCAAGAGUACUAAGUCCAACCAAUUCCAAAAUCCAUAUAAAUCAGCCCACCAACAACAUACAUAUAUAUAAAUCAACCUUCAUAAUUUGAUCAUGGAAGCAUAAAACCAUAAACAUCACAUAAUAAUUUCAUUUCAUGAUAAUAUGCAAAAUAGACCAUAAUAGGGUGUGUAGUAGUAAUUCCAUACUUCAAGAGUUCAUAAAUGACCAUAAGGACCCAUAAACUUGAAGUUAUAAUAGAGGAUAAAUGGUUGGACUUGUGGAAAGGAAGGUUUCCACAAUCAAACCCACAUACCUCAACUUUGGAGAAUCCUUGAUGAAGAUUGGAAUGGAGAAUUGAAGCUUGAGAUUGAGUCUUGAAUCCGGAAUUAGAGCUUGAGAUGUUUGAAUUUGGUUGAAGAUCUUGGUGGAAUUUUGGAGAGGGCUUAGAGAGUGUUUUUGAAGUAAAAANNNNNNNNNNNNNNNNNNNNNNNNNNNNNNNNNNNNNNNNNNNNNNNNNNNNNNNNNNNNNNNNNNNNNNNNNNNNNNNNNCGGCCCUUCCAGUUCCUUGUGUGCUAAGAGAUAUGCCCCUUUAAAGUUGACCCUCCAAAUCGCAUUUUUUGCGAUUUUCGAAUUGUGAUACGGUUGCUCUAAAAUUCGGGUUAGACUCAUUUCCCACUCAAUUUGACCCCCUAAAUAAAAAUAUGAAGUCGAAUUUCCGAAAUCAUGCACGGAUUUUGAGAUAUAUGGAAAUUACAAUUAUAUGUGUUUUCGAAGCACAUUUUCGGGCAUUUUUGGGGUCGUUUCAGUUGGCGCUCCUAUGGAGUUCGGUCUUAUCCUUAUAAAAUUAUCAUUUCCCUUGAUUGUAUAACUGGGGCAGAAUUUUUGAGAGGGUCUCAAAAAUUCCAUUAUAAGGACAUGUUCCUAUAAGUCACGAUACUGGGUAGAAAUUUUUAGGGGACUCAAAAAUUCCAUCAAAUAACAUUUUUCUCGCAAAUCAGUACUGGGGCAGAAUUUUUGAGAGGAUCUAAAAAAUUCACGACAAUCAAGUUAGAAUCUACAAUAAAGAUCAAAAUAGCAGAAGUUCUAUACCGGGGUAGAAAAUUUUCGAAUAUAUUUCAAAAGUUUUAUGAGGCAUAUCAGAUUCGAAAGGACCUUUCUCCAUCAGAUGUUGUAAAGUCUCAAACUGUGUCAUGGUCAUAGAUUCAACAAUACUUUUCACAAACUAAUUUUAUGUUUUCAAAAGCUUCUCAAACUUUCUUUCCUCCUCUACUUAUAUUUUUCUUCAAACCAAAUACCCGGAAAAGAUUUGGAUGGCAUGUUAAAUGGAGUACGCCAGUCAAAUUAGAUCAACCGCCCCCAUUUAUAAACUCACAAUUUUUCUUUGAAUGCAGAAAAGACAUGUACACAUCAAUUGAAGAAUCAAGCUACCAUACAACGAGCCCGAUAAUCGCCAUUAAAUGGCACACUAUCUUUCCAAUAAGGCAAAAGACCAAGCUACUUUACAUUGAGCCCGAGAUUGCAUUAAGCCCGAAAUUGCAUUGUGCCCGAUAUUGCAUGAGCCCGAGAUUGCAUUGAGCCCAAGAUUGCAUUGUGGCCGAUAUUGCAUGAGCCCGAGAAUUGCAUUGAUCCCGAGAUCACAUUGAGCCUGAAAUUACAUCGUGCCCGAUAUUGCAUGAGCCCGAGAAUUACAUUCAGCCCGAGGUCGCAUAUGCCCAAAAAUUGCCUUGAGCCCAGCACUGAGCCUGAGAUUAUAUUUGCUCGAAAAUCAAAUUGAAGCCCGAGAUUACAUUGACCCCGAAGUUCGCAUUUAGCCCGAAGAUUGCAUGUUCCCGAUAUUUCAUUGAGCCCGAGAAUUGCAUUGAGCCCUAGAUUGCAUUGUGCUCGAAGAUUACAUGUGCCUGAUAUUGCAUGUGCCCGAAGAAUGAAUUGAGCCCGAGAUUUGCAUGAGCUCGAGAUAUCACAUGAUCUCGAGAAUUGCAUGUGCUAGAAUACAUCUUUACAGAGUAACUAUCUAAUCAAGCCACAAGUUGCUCAAAUUACAUCAAAACAGAUACGCUCUCUUUACUCAUUAUUUUUAUUCCGAAGGCGUCAUCGUCUAAACGCAUCAUCUCUCAUGGCCUUCAAACAUCAUUUCAUGGCCUAAGGAUUUACUUUAUGCUUAUCAUGUUUCAAAGGCGUCAUGGUCUAAAGGCAUCAUCUUUCAUGGCCCGCAGACAUCAUAUCAUGGCCUAAGAAUUUAAUUUCUAUAUAUCAUGAUUUGAAGGUGUCAUAGUCUAAAUGUAUCAUUUUUCCUCGCCCACGGACAACAUUUUCAUGACCUGAGGAUUUAAUUUUGCGUAUCAUGGCCCUAGACAUCAUAGCCUAAGACAUCAUCUUCAUAGUCUUAAGGAAAAUAUCUUGGUCGACAUGGGAAAUUGCAUCAUGUUUACAUUUAUCGUGUAUUUGAUAUACCUGCCCUAAUAAAUUUAUUUGGUCGUAUCACAAGGUACAAGUUUGCAGAUUGCAAACAAGAUCCCCUCUCAGACACGUUUGUCAUGCUUAUAUAUCUAUCGCAACAAAGGUCCUCUCAAUCCUUAGGUACUUGUAUUACCGUUUUUCAUAUGAUCCUUGCUCUUAAAAUUGGAGUCGUUCUAUUCAUCCCAUCCUUGCCACUCUAAUCCUAUCUAUUCAAGCCGCUAUCGCUCCCAUUCGAAUAUCGUACCGUCAUUCCAUUUUUAGGAGCUUUGUUUGUUCCUAAAUUUAGAACUACACACGACCUGAUUCUUGUAAUACCAGAGAUAUUUAGGCAACUUAAUACCAAAGUCUCAGCCGUACCCUUUUCCAACUCUAUACCAUUUCAAUUGAUCCCCAUUGACAUCUCUCGUCGGUCGAACAAAAUUAGCUACUAAGUCAACGUUGGUUGCCCGACAAUUCAUCCUUCAUUCUCAAGCAACCAAGGGAAAGUUGUUGACACCCAAUUUUGAUCGACUUAUAACCCUUUUGGGAGAGCUAUUCGAUUAAGUACGUAUUUAAAAAAAAUAUUACAUGUUUAAAUUUUCAAUCAAUUCUGUCUAAAUAAGUAUAUAAUUUAUUAUUUAUAAUUUGCCAAAAUUAUUGUAAUUAUUAUUAUUUUUAUAUAUCGAUAGUUAAACUCGAAAUAAAUACUUUACUUAUUUAUUUAAAUGUUUUAAAACUUAGAUGUGUUUAAUUUAUAUAUGUGUGGUAUAUUACUAAUUGAAUAACAUUUUCUUAAUUUUCCUCCAAAUCAUUUAAAUGUCUGCCUGUUCUAUUCUAAUUCCUUUCAAUUCUAGCCUAUUAAGUUCCAAUUUAUUUCGAUUAUAGCCACCUAUUCAUUUCAAUUCUACCCUGUUUAAUUUAAUUCUUGUUUCAAUUUUAGCCAUUUCGAAUCCAGACCUAAGAGCCUCAUCCUCAAAUACUGAUCACUCGUCUCAUUACAUCUCCUCAACUUUAAAUCCUGAGUGUUCAUCACAAAUUAUCCAACGGAUGAGAUCAAGUCUUCUAACUUUGGUGUUUCAAUCUAAAAAAGACUUCAACCCUAAAAUUUUCACCCCAUCACUAUCACGAUAAGAACAUCAACCUCUUGUUUCUAACAUCACUCCACUACUAAAAGGACCUCUAAAAAGAUAUCCCCCAAACUCUUUGGAACUCAUUACUAUCUUACUCUCAAACACUUGACUUGAUUUCUCAUCUUGUCAUAUCCCCCUUAGGUCUAAAGCUGACACUUGAAAGCUAUGGACCUAUUUCAUUAGCUCUAAACUGGUCUACAUCUUCUUUUACUCUAACACUCGGGAAAAAGUUAUUUCAUGACUACCGAACUCUCAAUAGAGAGGUACUAAGACCUCUUUCUAAGGUGUUUUUCUUAACCUCUUUUGAUUACGCACCCUCUCAUUACACCUCUUAAUGCUUUUUGUUACUCUUGUGACUUAGCCACACUUCACUGCCCUUAUCUAAAGGUUAGGGUCUCUCACUUGUACCACUCAUAAUUAUUGUAGCUUAUCACCUCAAUUUCUCACCUACUAUAUGUCAAGUCUUCUAGAUCAAAUCUUAAUAAUAACAUCAUCACCCUCAUGAUGUCAUUCUUUUGAUCAUGACAAUCAUCUCAAAUUCAAGCUUAAUGUUUAUUACUAAACCCGAAUAUCAAUAUGAUUGCUCUCCUACCAUACUAUACCUCAUUACUUGAUCAGUUCUAUAACCUUCUGAACAUCAUGACCCUCUCAAACAAAUCAUAAGCCUAGCUUAGAAGAAUUUAGUCUCCUCUAAUACGAUGGCACAUCGACAUCAACUCUAUUCUAGUUAAAAAAUAUAUACUCUAUCUCAUCUUGACCAGCAACUCUUACUCUACCCAUAAGGGAAAACUCCUCAUCAAUAACUUACUAGGUGCAUAACUAUAGUAAUAAUACUCUUCAAAAACACUAUCUCCCUUUCUAGGAUUACUAAACCUCUGCAUAUUUUUCUCUAACUCUAGGCUCUUUCACUGCUAUUGCUCAUGAUCUCGUAACUCAUGCUACCUUUUCAAGUGAAAAUAUUACCCAAGCUCUAAACAUACCUCCUCGUAAGGAUCUCAACUGAAACAAGGCUUAAGGAAAAGAGUACAACUCACUUUUAGCUCAAAUGCACAAUUCAUAUGAAUAUGGGUGCAUUCCUCUGAAAAUGAACACAUAACUCACUUUUGGGCUUCUCUCGGUCCCCUCUGGAGUCUCAUGACUUCCUCAAAACUCUUGCUAAGAACAACUCAUCGACAAAGAACUGACUUUGCUUUUCAACCACCUCUAGUAUGAUGGGUAGUUGAAGGGAUAAGAGAACACACGAGUUAGAAUAAGUCUCUAUGACAUAGCUCUAUUGCACGAUUAAGAGUAUGAAAGAUGAGAAAUUUUUCUUAAAUGUAUGUAGUCCAUCGUUUAUAGAAGUGGGGCCCUCACAACCAUAAACAAGACCCUACUGACAUGGCUUCAUAGACACCCUAUGACACUUGAACUCUAGGCUCUGAUACCAAGUUUGUCACGACCAGAGUCUACACCCUGGACGUGGCCGGCACACAAGAACCAUUGCUGGUCCCCAAGCGAACCUUCAUCAUGGCUGACUAUAAGUGGAAGACUAACUUAAGCAUGCAAAAGCUUAAAUACUGAAUAAAAAUUCAUGAAACUCAAUUACAAAGCUUUAAUUCAAAUGAAAAACUCUGUAUAAAAAUAAAUUAUUCAACUCACCAUAAAAUAGACAACUUAAGUCUUUAAAGCAAUUUAACAAAAUAAUGAACAGACUUCUAGAAACUCUAACUGUCUAAUCUAUGAAGCCUAAUAAAUGACAAAGAUGGAAGUCGGGACAAGACCCACGACAUCCUAACAACUGAUAUAACUGAAAGUAAAAGUAAAACCCUCCAGAAGCAAGGAGGCUCACCAUAGCUAACUCAAACUCCAUGUGGUAUCAACGAAGCUCCUGUUGAUGAUUCCUGAAUACCUGUAUCUGGAUCAUGAAACGAUACAGGCCAAAUGGCUCAGUACGUAGAAUGUACGAGCAUGUAAGGGGAAUUCUAAAGCAUAACAUAAUCUUGAAACCUGAUAAAAAGAGAAACAUACUUACCUCUUCUCAAACUUACUUUACUCAAGGAAUACUCAAGGAUACUCAAAACUACUCAAACUUACUCAACUCAGAAGUACUCAAGAAUAAGAUACUCAACUUAGUAAUAAGGUUCUCAACCCAGUGAAACUCAAAAAUAAGGUACUCGACACAAUGAAGCAUAUAUCAACUCAAGAUACUCAACUCGAAGGUACUCAACUCGAAAGACUCAACUCAUGAUACUCAAGGAUAGAGUAAUAGUAAAAGAUACUAUAUUUAUGGAAAGCUGCAAAUACUGUAGAUAGCAACUCAAUGUGUUAAAGAAAUACCAUAAAAAACUCAAUUUACAUAUAAAGUAAUAUAAUACUGUGGGAGUUUCUCUAACCGACAACCACCACUAUGAGCCUAAGUGAUGAUACAACGUCUUGCCCACGCUUCCAGAACUAUCCUAUCUUUUGCCGUCAUAUAGAACGCCUUAACUAUGUGGAUCCACUAGUCUAUGCUAAAAAAGCACUAAGGAGUCAUCUAAAAAGUAUGAUCCUUUCUAGCCAUGAUGACUACAUGGUUUAUGGAGACUUGAGGUAUUAUGAACUCGCGUCCCCAUAUCAGUGCUCAAUACUACUCCCAAAAUAUACUCAGCUCAUACGUUUUAAAAACAAAACUCUUUCUGUGAUUUGAGAUAAUUACUCAAAAACUAGCUCAAAAGGUUCUCUUAGAAAUCGAUGUUUCCUUUCUUGUUCAAAUGUGAAAACAUUUUUAACUCUUUGAGAAUACUUAGUUCCCGUAUAAUCUUUGAAGAAAUGAACUUCACUUUUACUCUUUACUCAACUUAAAGCUUAAGUCUUAAAAAAAAGUUAAAACAUUUGUAAUAGACUUCUUAAAAUAUGGUUCAUGCCGAAUUAUGGACGUGAACAACUCAAUGCAAGGUUUUCGAUAACCAUAGAUAGAACUCAAUACUUGGAACUCAAGAACUUCAAUGAUACUACUCAUUUCAAGAAUGCUCAACUCAGAGGGUUCAUGCAGAAUUAUGAGUUUGAACUACUCAACUCAAGGACUUCAUGGGUAACAUGUAAUAGUCCCAUGAUUAGAAAUAUAAUCUCAAAAGGGGAUUAGGAACUCAAUACUCAAGACUUAGAACUUGAAGAUACUACUCCUCUCAAAGGUACUCAACUGAUGGAGUUCAUGCGGAAGUUAUGGAAAUGAACGACCUAUGGUAUGGGCUGUUAUCUCAAGGGCCUGGUUAGGCUCUUCUUGUUGGAACUCAAGGGUCAAAAUAUCAAUAAGGAACUCAUGUAUACGACUCUUCUCAUUCUCAUACUUACUUAAAACUCAACUCAAAAUCGAUAGUUGAUCUCAAAGGAUUCUAGAUUGAACUUAAAGGCUCUCUUGAACUCUACUCUUAACUCUCUCUUGAAUGUGAAUUAUGAAUUCAAGAGUUAUGGUUCAUGCUAUGAAAGAUCUCAUGAUGAUAUUUCUCCUCAUCCUCAUACUCACUUGCGCGAGUCUUGAAACAAGUUAUUAGAAGUUGUAGAAGACUCCUCAAAAGUCUCAAAGGGACCUUCUAAAAAAUGUUUGAAAGAACUCUCAAAACUUGACUCUCAACUCUACGUUGAAUUUGAUUUAUGAAUUCAAGGUUGUGAUGAUGUUUAGGAGUGUUUUUAGAUAGUUAAACAUGAGAAAAUCACUAUCUGGAAGCAAGUUCGCGACGCGUUGAUGCAUUUAAAUAUUUGGUCGCGAAAUAAAUUUUGAGGAAGAAGGGUCUGUGACCUCUCCGCGAUGCAGAGAAAAAUCCUGUGAAAUGGGGAGGCACGUUCGCGACGCGGACUGGGUUGCCAGAUUCGCCCGACUUUUUCCUUCUUCAUUUUCUAACCCCAAUUCGCCAAAAUUCGAUUCUUUUACUCAACUUCUCUUUAGAUUCAGAUAUCCAACAUAUGUACACUAGAAUCUAAAUCAAAACAACUCUAUAAAUUGACGCAAUAAUCUCAAGAACUCCUCAAUCUCAGUCCAAUUCAAGAACGAAAGCAAAUUCAAGAACACAUAUCAAGAACAUCAAACCUUCAACUUUCUAGAACGAAUUUAACGCUGAAAUUAACAUGUUGGCAUGUGGGUGAACAAACCUAACACUAGGGAAGCUUACAUACCUGAAAGAAUCAUCUUCUUGAAGAACUUGAAGGAAAAUCUGGGAAGAUGAACCCUAGCCUUAGCGUUUCUUGAAUUCCUUGAGCGUAGAAUUUUAGGAGUGGAUGAGAGGGUUUGAUUUAUGAAAACUGAUUUUUCUACACAUUUAGGGUAAUUUAGAUGACUCCUAAGGGUUUUUAGGACUAAAAUACCCCUAAAGAAAUAAAUAAAAUGAGCUGAGAGUCGGAAUAAUUUUUCAGCAGGCUGUGAGGUCCGUAUUGGCUCCGUAACGCCGAGCCAUCCCGAAGCUGCUGGCAGGUUUGUGUGUCGUUAGUAAAUCAAACAUAACUUUUCACUCAGAGCUCUAAAUUAAGAAAACUUGGUGGCGUUGGAAAGAGGACUCGAAGGGCUUUAAUUUUCCAUCUUGUAGCUCACCUAACUCAUUCUGUACUAGAAGUUAUGGUCAUUUGAAGUUGACCCAAAACUUAGAAGAACUAGGAAUGACUUGAGUGAACUCUCUUUGGUUCUUCUUGGAACUCAAGGUGCUACAUCUAGUGACCUUAACACUCAAGAAAAAUUAAAUUCCUUGGUAAAAACUUUCUCACUACGAAGGAUGGUUCGAGUCUUAGCUCAAAAAUUUUCUGGGGUGUUACAUUUCCUAAAAUAAUUAUUUGACUUUCCUUGAUUAUCGAGAUAUUACUCUUAGUCAAUUAAUGUCGUAGUAUUGUGUGCAAACAGAUCAAUCUGUUAUUAUUUCUUUCUCAUAAUUGGCUAAGUUAGCGUCUUGACUAAUUCCUUGAUUUGCUAAAAUAAUUAAUUACUUGUUCAAGGCUUUCUCUUGCUAUUAGGACGAGAUUUAGUCUUCCAUAAAUUGUUGAUAUCUGUGAUUAAUUUAUGGUAAUUUGCUGGAAUCCUCUCUUUGCCUACGGUAAGACAUAAAUUAAUAAACAAAUCAUGUGAGUUUUAAUUCUUGUGACAGUUAUUUCUUUUCUUAGAAAUUUAUUUGUGUUGAUUUUAAAUUAAUACCUCCUUGCCUUAUUUAUUUGUAGACAGAUUCUUACUUGUUCUCUUCUUGGUAAAAUUUCGACCGAAUCAUGAGGCAUUAGUAAUAUGCUUUUUAGUCUUUAUUUUUGGUAGCUAAAAUUAUAAUUUGUUUUCCUUUCCUUAUGCAUGCGGACUAAUUUUGGCUCUCCUUCUAAAUAAGGAAAAUUGAUUUUAAUUGGUGGAAUUAUAUUAUUUUCGUUCUAUGCCAGUCCAUUCUUGGACUAUAUAAAGAGAGGCCCUCAUUCUUAUUUAGACACGCUUUAACACUUUGAACAAAAAAAAGUAAUACUCUCUACUCUAAAAGAAGUUCGAUGAACAUUCAAAGAGGUGAUUUCUUUAUUCGGUUUUGCGGUGUUCAGGUCGAUCAUUGGAUUAAGCUUGU